rnacentral:rRNA from 1 species
AACGCGAAGAACCUUACCCGGGCUUGAACUACGGAUGGUAAGUCCCUAGAAACAGGGGCUGACCCGCAAGGGAGUCCGCAGAGGUGCUGCAUGGUUGUCGUCAGCUCGUGUCGUGAGAUGUUGGGUUAAGUCCCGCAACGAGCGCAACCCUUGUCCUAUGUUGCCAGCGGGUAAUGCCGGGGACUCGUAGGAGACUGCCGGGGUCAACUCGGAGGAAGGUGGGGAUGACGUCAAGUCAUCAUGCCCCUUACGUCCAGGGCUGCACACAUGCUACAAUGGCCGGUACAACGGGCUGCUAUCCCGCGAGGGGGAGCCAAUCCCAAAAGCCGGUCUCAGUUCGGAUUGGAGUCUGCAACUCGACUCCAUGAAGUCGGAGUCGCUAGUAAUCCCGGAUCAGCAACGCCGGGUGAAUACGUUCCCGGGCCUUGUACACACCGAUAGC